UACUUCGGAGUUGUAAACCUUUGUCUACCGGGAAGAAACGGUUUGAGUUAAUAGCUCAAAGCCGUGACUUAACCCGGAGAGGAAGCAGUGGCCUAACUCUGUGC
rnacentral:rRNA from 1 species